GACGAAGGGGGGCUAGCGUUGUUCGGAAUUACUGGGCGUAAAGCGCGUGUAGGCGGUUGUUCAAGUCAGGUGUGAAAGCCUUGAGCUCAACUCAAGAAAUGCACUUGAUACUGGAUGACUAGAGGACCGGAGAGGAUAGUGGAAUUCCCAGUGUAGUGGUGAAAUACGUAGAGAUUGGGAGGAACACCAGUGGCGAAGGCGGCUCACUGGACCGGUACUGACGCUGAUGCGCGAAAGCGUGGGGAGCAAACGGG
rnacentral:rRNA from 1 species